rnacentral:rRNA from 1 species
AAUGGGCGCAAGCCUGAUCCAGCAAUGCCGCGUGCAGGAUGAAGGCCUUCGGGUUGUAAACUGCUUUUGUACGGAACGAAACGGCCCUUUCUAAUACAGGGGGUUAAUGACGGUACCGUAAGAAUAAGCACCGGCUAACUACGUGCCAGCAGCCGCGGUAAUACGUAGGGUGCGAGCGUUAAUCGGAAUUACUGGGCGUAAAGCGUGCGCAGGCGGUUAUGUAAGACAGAUGUGAAAUCCCCGGGCUCAACCUGGGACCUGCAUUUGUGACUGCAUAGCUAGAGUACGGUAGAGGGGGAUGGAAUUCCGCGUGUAGCAGUGAAAUGCGUAGAUAUGCGGAGGAACACCGAUGGCGAAGGCAAUCCCCUGGACCUGUACUGACGCUCAUGCACGAAAGCGUGGGGAGCAAA